rnacentral:rRNA from 1 species
ACUCCUACGGGAGGCAGCAGUGGGGAAUAUUGCGCAAUGGGCGAAAGCCUGACGCAGCGACGCCGCGUGAGGGAUGACGGCCUUCGGGUUGUAAACCUCUUUCAGCAGGGACGAAGCGAAAGUGACGGUACCUGCAGAAGAAGCACCGGCUAACUACGUGCCAGCAGCCGCGGUAAU